rnacentral:rRNA from 1 species
GACGAACGCUGGCGGCGUGCUUAACACAUGCAAGUCGAACGGAAAGGCCCUGCUUUUGUGGGGUGCUCGAGUGGCGAACGGGUGAGUAACACGUGAGUAACCUGCCCUUGACUUUGGGAUAACUUCAGGAAACUGGGGCUAAUACCGGAUAGGAGCUCCUGCUGCAUGGUGGGGGUUGGAAAGUUUCGGCGGGUGGGGCUGGACUCGCGGCUUAUCAGCUUGUUGGUGGGGUAGGGGCUUACCAAGGCUUUGGCGGGUAGCCGGCCUGAGAGGGUGACUGGCCACAUUGGGACUAAGAUACGGACCAGACUCCAACGGGGGGCAGCGGUGGGAAAUAUUGCACAGUGAGCGGGAGCCUGAUGCGACGGCGCCGCGUGCGGGAUGACGGCCUUCGGGUUGUAAACCGCUUUCGCCUGUGACGAAGCGUGAGUGACGGUAAUGGGUAAAGAAGCACCGGCUAACUACGUG